AAGAAAAUAAAUAAAUAAAUCAAGCCACAAGAAGAAAGAAAGGCUAAAAAUGAGGCUAUCAGGCUGAUCCCAGCUAGAUUUAAAAAAGAAACCCAACAAUCAAUAAAUAAAUGAAAUCUCUGUACAAAACUAAGAAAAAGCUCUACUUGUUGGCUACAAAAGGGCGUACCACGACUGAUGUAAAUCUGCAGGUCUCCACAAAGAAUAUCGGUUGACCAUCUCCGGCUGGCACGCCCUGGACUAAACCUAGUUGCCUAAACGAAUUGGCUACAAAAUUCUUCCAUCUCAUCUGCUGCUGCAACUGGAUAAUUUACAUGUUCCAUCACCAACUGCUUGAACAGGACACCAACUGCUAUAGUCGUGGAGCACCUCGUUAAGCCUGCCCGGGUGGCUGCAACCUGACAUGUUCGUGAGCUUUGACAGCUUCUGAUGUGAAGAUCUCCAAAGCCUUGAAAAUCGGGACUAGACCGCCCUUUAAACUGCCAGCAGCCGCAUCAUGCACUAGUUUCAUAGCAUCCUUGUGCUUUAGCCUCUCUUCAGUCAAUUUGUGUUUCAUGGAAUCAAGUCCACCUUCAGGUCAUCCAGAACCGACACCCCACUGUUAUUAUCCGAUGGGAUCACGGACAAUCCAGUUUUAUCCGACAUUGCAUCUUGAUCUCGAUCUGUUUUCCCCCUCCACACGAUGUGCUCUAAGGUGUUUCUCGUAAUCCUUUGAAAG
rnacentral:lncRNA from 1 species